rnacentral:rRNA from 1 species
UACGGAGGAUGCAAGCGUUAUCCGGAAUGAUUGGGCGUAAAGCGUCCGCAGGUGGCUAUGUAAGUCUGCUGUUAAAGAGUGAGGCUCAACCUCAUAAGAGCAGUGGAAACUACAUGGCUAGAGUGCGUUCGGGGCAGAGGGAAUUCCUGGUGUAGCGGUGAAAUGCGUAGAUAUCAGGAAGAACACCGGUGGCGAAAGCGCUCUGCUAGGCCGCAACUGACACUGAGGGACGAAAGCUAGGGGAGCAAACAGG